rnacentral:rRNA from 1 species
UACGGAGAGUGCAAACGUUGUUCGGAUUCACUGGGCGUAAAGGGCACGUAGGCGGCUUGGCAAAUCGGUCGUGGAAUCCCGACGCUUACCGUCGGAACGGCGGCCGAAAAUACCGAGCUCGAGGGCGUGAGGGGUCACUGGAACUCCUGGUGAAGCGGUGAAAUGCGUAGAUAUCAGGAGGAACGCCGGAGGCGAAAGCGAGUGACUGGCGCGUUCCUGACGCUGAGGUGCGAAAGCUAGGGGAGCAAACAGG